UCCCGCCCAUCCCCGCCCGUCCCUCCCCCCAAUGAUGGUCAGUUCAUUGGUCAAGCUAGGGGGCCGUCUUCAGCCCGGAUCACCCGCUCGGGCAAAGGGCACCGGGCUGAAGAGGGAAGCCUGAAGACGUGCCCUGGCUUUUGACCCCGCCCCCCCAGCCACAGUCUAGCCACCCAGGCUGUUGCCGCGUCCCUGCUGAGUUACCCAAGGAGCAGUCUGUCAUCCCCAACAAGACAACGUUCUGUUUACUUCUUCAAAAUUUUUUCUAAUGUUUUCAUAUCUGAAUCAGCUAAUAAGAUAUCAUCCAUAUAGUGCUCGAGAUGCAACUAUGGGUUGGUUUCAAAUGCCAUCAUCACGCUGGCGAGAAAU